ACGCGAGCUGGGUUCAGAACGUCGUGAGACAGUUCGGUCCCUAUCCGUCGCAGGCGUAGGAAAUUUGAGACGACCUGUCCUUAGUACGAGAGGACCGGGAUGGACGUACCUCUGGUGUACCAGUUGUUCUGCCAAGGGCAUGGCUGGGUAGCUAUGUAUGGAAUGGAUAAGCGCUGAAAGCAUCUAAGCGCGAAGCCAACUUC
rnacentral:rRNA from 1 species